GGAAAAUGUUGUGAAAUUUAUUGGCUGUGUAACUACGCAGAUUCACCCAAUUCUGAUCAUGGAGUACCUACCCUGUGGAGAUCUUCUUGGCUUUCUGAGGAAAAGCCGUGGAAUUGACGACAAAUAUUAUCGCGGAGAAGGAGAGGUAGCAAACCUCAAAACAUAUGAGCUGGCUUCAUUUUCAAACCAGAUUGCUACAGGGAUGGUGUUCUUAGCAUCCAGAGGGAUUAUCCAUCGUGAUUUGGCCGCACGCAACGU